CCCAGCCCCCGGCCAUUUGAUUCUUUUCCCGCCCCUUUCCCCAGAGCUCCAGGCUCAAGAGCAUAUGGUGCCCUUUUCACGUUAUUACAGGCGCUCGUUUACCAAAUACUUUGUCAUUGCACAGCGUGAUGCUCCAGGCAGGGCCCCCGGUGGCUCCUCCGUCCAAGAGUUACUCUUCGGAACAUCUUCCCUACUGUGAAGCGUGUUUUGCUCUUGGUGCCAUAAAUCCGUGGUGGCUGAAAUGCCUUCCGUGUGGCUAGGGAACCAAGUAUGCAAGUGGGACGGACAGCCUCCCGAGUGCUGGGAUUACAGGCAUGCACCACCAUGCCCAGCCAAAGUGGUCACCUUUUGGGCUGGAGGAAACACGGAAAAAUCUACAGCAAAUGAAGUAGGAAUUCUGGAUUUGGGUUCUGGUUGCCACUGGAGAUGGCUUGCAGCAAUUAGCAGGAACUAUGAAGCCUAUGAGGGCCCCUUCAGAACAAGAUGGCUGAAAGUCUGGAUCUAACAGUCUGCUGAAGCAAAGGGCCUCCCUGGGGUGAUAAGCCUGGAAUAAGAUUUCAUCUGAAGCCAUUA